UCUAGAUUCCUGUAACCCUGCCUUUUCCUUUUUGUUUUCCCAGACCUAGGAUGGUAGCUCUUUCCUGCAGUUAUUUUCUCUGGUUUCCCUCAGUGUUUCUGCUGUGUUCUCUCAGUCCUCUAAUUCUUGUGUUAAAUCUCCUCUGUUUGCAAUGUAAUAAAUUAUUUUUCUGCAUUUCUGACUGAACUCUGACAUAUAUAUCACCACGAUCAUAUUGACUUACACCCCUACACAUAGUUUUCUUUCUAUUUUUAUUUCCAAUUUAAUAUUUUGUGAUUUUUAUAAAUUGUUAUUUCUGUAUACAAAGAAAGUGAAGUGUGGUAAUAUUAGAAAAAAGUAACAAGUACAAAGCCGUGAAAGAGAAGAUAAUACUGCCACUGAUAGAUGCAGGCUUUCAGAAGAAGAAAAGUUAAAUGGAGUUUCCAGGUCAUAGUCUGACUUCAUCUUCCUUGAGUUUCCAGGUACUCCUUCUGGGAAGGGCCAGUCUGAAAGUUGAUUGCCUGUAUCAGCUCUACCAAAUUACUAGGCCUUCCAUAUUCUCCCACGACUCAAGACCAACAAAUUUCAUAUGCCAUUUUUCAUGGACUCUAGCAGCGAUUGUUUCUGGCUAAAAGUUACUUCAACUCACCACCCCUGUCACAAAACCCGUUAUGAGAGAAGCUCCUAUUAGCUUUAGCCAAGCCCUGCGAGCAAGGUUAGAACAGCAUUUGGAGGCUGUGGGAUCUUCUUUGUGUAGGUCAUGAUCUAUUCAGGCCCCAAGCACACGUUGCCUAGGUCCCAGAGAGGUUUGCAUCAGAACUGAGAACCUGAGAGUACAAGGAGCUUGUGUGGAUAAAGGCUAACCAAGGAUCAGAUUCCCC
rnacentral:lncRNA from 10 species